rnacentral:piRNA from 2 species
UAUUUAUUGGUAAUCAAACAAAGAAGCAGGU